ensembl:lncRNA
AAUGGGCGUUUUCAAUGCUUGUGCUAUUUUCUUAUAGACACGUCCCAUUCUGUGAAGCUCAACAACCUUUUUCCGCACAUCACAGCUAUAUUCCUCACUCUUACCCAUUGUUAUGAAUGACUAAGGGAAUUUGCCCUAUUUGUUACCUCUUAUUUGUACCCCAGUGAAACAGGAAGUCAGGGUUAAUUGUUAGUCAAUGGCCAAUCAGAUUUGAGAAUUCAACUGCAGGGUCAUAAUAACUACCUUUUAUUUUACUGGUUACUAAGCUAACCUGAUUAAUUUCAAUUAAAAGCUGACUUUAGUUUCCAUGCCGACCUGUCUGGAGGUAUUUUACCAUCCCACCUUCACUCAUUAUAACCACGAACACCAGAAAAGCAUCGCAUGCUUUUUCUUUUUAAACAUCCAAUCAGACAAAGAGAAAAGAAAAGACAGUGAAAACGCCUUCGGAUAAAUUAGGCCUUUAUACAUGUUACAUUAAAAAAGCAACAUGCUGAGCAUAAACGCAUUCAUUAUGCUAAUGUACAGCGCUGAAUAUUUUACACGAGCAGGUUCCCUGAACCAUUCUUUCACAUCAACAAUCAUUUAUUAACACCAGGAAGCAGAUAAAAGUCCGGUCUGAGCAUCAGCCUACACACAGGAAGUAUCUGAGAUUGAUACUCAAGUGAGUCCACAAUUCAUACAGCAUAUUUACAUUGCUAAACAUAGGGGUGUACAAACUUUUGUGUCUUAACUUCCAGACAUGGAAGUUAAAAUAUUAUUAUUAUUAAUAGUAGUCCUGCUUCAUUGCCACCAUCACAACUAAGGUGAAUUGUGAGCACUUCCUGUUGCCAGAACAGCACUAUUUCAUCACUCACUAAUCCUACUCCUUCAUUAGAGUCAGUGACUCCUGACAAAUUAAAGGUGCGGUGUGUAAUUUUGAAAAAUGUUUCUGUGUGUUGCGUUCGCAAUUUUUAAAGACGCUGUAAAAAAAAAGAAAAAGAAAAAAAAAGUCUGAUUUGCAAUAUUACCAUGCAACAGAUUUGAACUCUGCUGUAAUUCACGCUUGCGAUUCUGGGCUGGAACAUAGCCCCACCCCCUGACCUUCCUUAAAAGGCAAUCUCACAAGGUAUUGUUUUCUUCUUUUAAUUCUUCACACACACCCCAAAAAAAAAGAAAAGAAUUAAUACCAUUAACACUUCAUAGAUGGGAACUAAAUGCUCUGUUUACAUACCGAAAGCAGGAACUCUUUUCUUUUAUCGUUUUUUUUUCUCAUGACAUGGCAACUUUGGUCGCGAGUUUAUAUCAUCUCCCGGGUUGUUUUAAGUUUGCACACCCUGGUAGAAGCUGACUGGAAUGAAUGUGUGUGUGUGUGUGAUGUUAGCAUUAAAAAUACAUACAGAAAUACAUACAUGCCUAAUCAGUGUUUCAUUCACUACCUGUUGAAGUGAACAUUCACCUUAAAACAGCAUCAGUAGCUCUCGCUACUACGCCUGAUCGUUUCGGCUGAAAGUAUCACUCUUUUUUUCUGUAGAAACUGGUCCUUAAUACAUUACUGCAGAAUACUGUACACACAGUAACACAUCAUAUACCCAAUAAGCCUUAAGAGUAAUAUAUUAUUGCUACAUUUUGCUAAAUACACAAUUAAAUAGUGUGUUAAAUGAUUUCCAAUGCAUUUCCUCACAGCCUCCCAGAUUCCACCUAAAUAUGAAAAGGAAUGUGUUUUGAUCCUAUACGGGGGCUGGGGGGGGGGGGGGGGGGGCAAACAUGUUAAAACAACGUAAAUCUAGGCUCGUCUUUGAAUUUUGAGGCUCGGUAUCGAAGUAAUCAACCCGAAUCUCUAAUAUACGUGUUCUGAUUAGCUUUACGCAUUCGUGAUUAUUAAUAAAAACCUUCAUAUCUUCAUACAAGUCAGUCGACUCCAGGAAACGUGAGGGUCUGCAGCGUCGCUCCUGUCUCUCUCUUGGAGAGGUUCUUACUGAGGAAGCGGCGAUGGCGAGAGUUGAAGGGACUCGAGGACGUCGUGGAGC